rnacentral:tRNA from 1 species
GGUGGCUCAGUGGUAGAGUGCUUGCCUUGCAAGCAUGAGGCCCUGGGUUCAAUUCCUAAGCACCA